AUUGCAUUAAAUGCAAAUUUUAUGCUGCUAAUUGACAGGCGCAACACUGAAUAUAGCAGGAUUGCAUUAAUUGCAAGCUGAAUAGCAGCUGCUACCAUACAAAGUGCAGGGGGCGCAAAGCUGGAAAUAGCCGAACUUCAUUAAUUGCAAGUUGACUAGCAGAAUACAUGAAGUACAGCAAGGAGACUUAGUCAUAUGGGCUGCAUAGCCAAUAGGGCGCAUAAUUAAGUUAGAUUUAAGUAGAUUUAAAUUUGAAUUUUAGGCGCAAGCGCCGUCAGAUAUGUUCGCUGCACAUAUACAUA